UCUAGUCUUCUUGCUUCUCUUGGAGCUUGGGAGAGGAUUGAAAUUUUUCGCCAAUUUGCGCCAGAUCAUGCUAGAAUAGGAGAGCAAGACAAUUGUCGUGACCACGGUGGAGAUGUCACCAAGAAGCUGAAAUUCUGUUGAUUGGCCUUGGUUGCUCCAUUAAUAUUGGUUCCUAAGGCUUAGAUCAAGAGGUGGAAGGCGCAAAAGACUUAAGUGGUGGAUUCCUCACAGGGUGCCGCGGGCGGUCAGCCGCCUGUGGAACCAGUUAAGAUGAAGGGCCUUCUCAAGGGCCUCCGAUACAUCUCGCAAAUAUUCGACCCCAAGGAGCCGGAGAUCCAGAUCGGCGCCCCGACGGACGUGAAGCACGUCGCGCACAUCGGCUGGGACAACAACUCCGUCGCCAACCCCGCCUGGAUGAACGAGUUCAAGUCACAGCAGGGAGCGUCGGGGAGCGGCGGGCCGGAGGGCG